GACACACCUUCCCAUUUUACAUUGAAUUCAUUCAAUGGGUUUUCUUUAUUUUCACGACUAUUUACAUUGUAGGUUGUCACUGAAGGCAUCAAAUCUAUGAAUGAACACAUGUAGAGUUAUGUACUUAACAAAAAUAGGUGAAGUAAUUGAAAAUAUGUCUUAUAUUCUACUUUCUUUAAAAUAGCCACCCUUUGCUCUGAUUUCUGUUUUGCACUCUUGUCAUACUCUCGAUUAGUUUCAAGAGGUAGUCAACUGAAUGGGUUUUCACUUCACAGUAAAUAGGCAUGAAAAUAAAGAAAACAUAUUGAAAUGAGAAGGUAUGUCCAAACUUUUGGCCUGUACUGUGUGUGCGUGUGUUUGCGUGUGUGUGUAUUGUGGUCUCAACAAGAUAUUGAAUAAAAUGACGUUAAUAGCUGUCAAUCAAAGAUGUUCGUCAUGCAUGCACCAACACAAAAGCGAUGUUCAAGAACAAAUGAAAUUAAAAGACGAUGCUUUGGUUGUUAAAUUCGUCUUGAAUCGUCAUAUGUUUUUCCACGCCGUUUUGUUGCAUCUGUGUGUAUUAGUUGGGGCAAAGCUUCCAUGGUUGGACCAGGAAAAACUGUGCCCUCUAGGCAGCCAAGUGGAAAUUUCACCACCAAGUCUUGUUAAAGUCAAAAUAUGCAAUCAAGUAAGAAUUUAAUUAGCAGGCUUAUUAAAGAACAGUUUUAAUAAGUUAUUGUACUUUAAUUACACAAAACAUCGCAAAAGCAUAAUAAAGUCAAACUCUCACUUCCAAAGAUGGCAUAAAGCAACAACCAAAAAUAAAAUACAUGGAGAAAACUCAAAUAAUUGAUAAGUAAAAAAACUUGUCCUCUAACAUUUACAUGCACACAUUAAAACACAUUAUUAUAGAAAUUAUUCUGUACUGGUUGCAUGAUUUCAGUAGUAUUAUAAAAGAAGAAUUGCAAAGUAGGUACCAUCACAAUGUUGCAUUUUUCCUUGAGGAGGAAAUGCUGGAGAGGAGUGUGUAUAUUCUCUGCUGUGGACACAUUACACUGAUGCUUUUGACUGUCUGCUUUGUCCUGACACACAAUCCUGCAGCCUCCAAAGAGGCUCAGUGUUAAUUAAAAAGCCUUCCUGGCUUGGCUGCAGUUUUGGACCAAGUGAAGAGCAUUGACGGUGAGAGGAGUUAAGAUGGAGGAGGGGUGUUGGUCUUUUGAAAGCAGAGACAUGACAGCUGAGGGGGAAGCAUGUGUGAGGCAUGUUUGUUUUGCAUUUAGCCCCUGAGCUCAGCUGUGUGUGCUGUCCUUUUCCCAGAACACAACAAGAGUGAAAGGGGCCCCAUGUCCACAUGCCCAUCAUCUCACUUUUGAUAUAUAGAGUAUAUGCUCCAUAUUAUAAUGCCUUGGAUUCGGACCAGGGAGUAAAACUGAAUGUAAUUUGGUUGAGUCCAGCGUGAUGUGUUCCGCUGACAGAUUAUAGAACGCACUGCACUUCACUCACCUGCUGAGAGAAACUGUCAAUGUGGUUCCAAUUUAGGGGAUUAUCAACGGUUACUGUGCCCAAAGCUUUUCUACAAGACUUCAUCCUCUGGGAGAAAACAUUGACAAGCAUGGUGGUUGGCUGCCACUCGUUAUGCCAAGACACACUUUCUAAUCAGUGAUCAAUCGGUAACUUUGACUGCAAAAUGAGUCCGAUUUUUAUGUGUUAAGAUUUUCGCACUGUUUUGACCCCAUAGGCUUUGGUUUGAAAGAAGUAAGACAACUUCUGUGUGGUUUGCUUGGGUUCUAAACUCAGUUGGGAUAGACUCCAGCUCACCCUUUACCUUGAACAGGACCAGAAGGUAAAUAUCCCACACUCGUGUGCUUUUAUUUUGAAGGCUUGGCUUCACAAGCAACAGGAUGUGUUAAGCUGAUUUUUUCCGAGUGCUUCUUCAGGGUUAUUUUCCCCAUGAAAAUUAAAAGUCGGGAACGGAAGAGCGACGUUAAUAAAAAAAAAAAAAAAAGGCAUAAUUUUCCCCGCAAA